rnacentral:rRNA from 1 species
AUGCUGCGGGUGGAGGAGGCGCUGGCGGCGGUGCUGUCCGCCGCGGCGGCCUGCCGCGCCGCCGCGUCGGCCGUGCCGCUGCUCGACGCGCUCGGCCUCGUCCUCGUGGAGGACAUCCGCGCGCCCGACCCCCUGCCCCCCUUCCGCGCCUCCGUCAAGGACGGGUACGCCGUGGUGGCCGCCGACGGGCCCGGGGAGUACCCGGUCAUCGCGGAGGCCAGGGCCGGCGACGACGCGCUCGGCGUGGUCGUGACACCCGGCACCGUCGCGUACGUCACGACCGGAGGGCCGAUUCCCGACGGCGCGGAUGCCGUCGUGCAGGUGGAGGACACGGAGCAGGUCGCCGCCGCGCCGGAUGGGUCGAAGAGGGUCAGGAUCUCGGCGCGGGUAGCCGAGGGGCACGAUAUACGCAGCGUGGGAUGUGACAUAGAGAAAGAUUAUAUAGUGCUGAAAUCUGGUGAGAACAUAGGUCCUGCAGAAAUUGGGCUACUUGCAACAGUGGGAGUAACUACUGUCAAGGCAUACCGUCGACCAACCAUUGCUGUAUUUUCUACAGGGGAUGAGUUAGUUCAGCCAGCCACUGCAACUCUCAAUCGUGGUCAGAUUCGUGAUUCUAACCGGGCCAUGCUACUUGCUGCUGCUAUUCAGCAGAAGUGUAAAGUGGUUGACUUGGGUAUUGCAAAAGAUACUGAAGAAAGUCUUAUGGAGCAUAUGGAUGCAGCUCUACAUUCUGAUGCUGAUAUAAUCCUUACUUCUGGUGGUGUUUCCAUGGGUGAUAGAGAUCUUGUCAAACCUUGCUUGGCAAAGAUGGGUAAAAUUCACUUCGAAAAGAUCCGGAUGAAACCAGGGAAGCCAUUGACAUUUGCUGAGAUCACAUCAAAUGACCCAACAAAGCCAUCCAAAACAGCUCUUGCUUUUGGCUUGCCUGGAAACCCAGUGAGCUGUAUGGUUUGCUUCAAUCUCUUUGUUGUUCCUGCAAUACGUCUUGUCUCUGGUUGGUCAAAUCCUCAUCUAGAGAGAGUGCAUGUGCGAAUAUCACAUCCUCUAAGAGCAGACCCACAUCGUAUGGAGUUCCAUCGUGCAGUGAUCAGAUGGGUGCUCGACGAUGGAUCCGGUAGACCAGGUUAUGUUGCUGAGAGCACUGGCCAACAAGCUAGUAGCCGCCUUCUAAGUAUGAAAUCUGCAAAUGCCUUGCUGGAAGUGCAAUCAUCUGAGCAGAUAUUGGCAGCUGGAGCAUCUGUCCAAGCUAUACUUAUUUCUGAUAUAACUAGCCCUCCUCUGGAUAAGCUGCCUGCUGCUUCCAGCCCCUUAUCAUCUCAUCUUGUUUCUUCUGCAAAAGGUGCUUUGGCGGAUGCGCCACAGGUUGCAGCUUCUCAGAAUGCUGAAGUUAAAGUAGCAAUUCUGACUGUUAGUGACACUGUUUCUUCUGGAGCAGGCCCCGACAGGAGUGGCCCAAGAGCUGUAUCUGUAGUGAACUCUUCAUCGGAGAAAUUAGGGGGAGCAGUUGUUGUUGCUACUGCCGUGGUUCCAGAUGAAGUGGACAAAAUUAAGGAGAUUCUGGUGAAGUGGAGCGAUAUUGACCGUGUUAACCUCAUCUUGACCUUAGGUGGCACUGGCUUCACACCUAGAGAUGUUACUCCAGAAGCAACUAAAUCUGUAAUACAGAAAGAAGCACCUGGCCUUGCGUUUGUUAUGAUUCAAGAGAGCUUGAAGGUGACACCAUUUGCGAUGCUAUCCCGAGCCGCGUGUGGGAUAAGAGGAUCAACACUUAUCAUCAACAUGCCUGGGAACCCGAAUGCUGUCGCGGAGUGCAUGGAGGCUCUUCUCCCAGCGCUGAAGCACGCCAUGAAGCAGUUGAAGGGUGACAAGAGGGAGAAGAACCCUCGACACGUGCCUCAUGCUGAAGCGGCACCUGUGGACCAGUGGGAGCGCAGCUUCAGAGCCGCGUCGUCGGGCGGUGGCUGCUCAUGCGACCCUUGA